UGUGUUUGUGUUUGUGUGUUUGUGUGUGUGUGUGUGUGGACGCGCGCGCGAGAGAGAGAGAAAUCAAUUUUGCAAUGACCCAAAGUAUUUCUACUUACAAUAGAAAAAAAUUUAAUAGAAAAAGCUUGCAAGUUUACUUCAAAUGAAAACUAAUAUAAUAAGCCAAGAGGAGACCUAAUUUUCAAUUGGGUUGAGUUAAUUUAGUUGGUCGAGUACUCGAGUUGACUCAAAUGAGUUGGUCUAAGUUACAGUUAUGUAUAUUGCUCUUUCAUUUUCUAAUCCAUUCUCUACAUCUCUCAAUACCAGAUUCUUUUUCUUCCUUCUCCCUUUAUCGGGUAGCAAAACCCAAAAAGCUAACACCUUUCAACUUGUCAACACAUGCAUUCACAACUUUAAUAGUAUACAUUAAAUGAAAAUAUAUAAUUAUUCACAUUUUCAAAUUCAUGUAAUUCUACCUUUCCCUCUACACUAUUUGUAAAUAUUCACCAUCACAAAAUCUACAUAUAUUCAAUAUUGCUCAACAUGCGUAUACACAAAGAUAUUACACAGUGGAUAAAAUGUAGGGUUGCAAACGAACCAAAUUGUUUGCGAACCAACCGGUUCAGUUCGAGUUCGAGUUGUUCGCCUAGUCGAGUUGAGUUCGCACAUAGUAUUCCUCCGUUCGAUUGAUCGAACAUGUUCGUGAAUCAUGUAGUUCAGUUCGUCUUUGUUUGCGAAUAGUUCGAGUUCGGAUCAGUUCGAUAAGUUCGAGAUCGGUUCAAGUAGUUUGAUUUCUUACAUGUUUAAAUUGUUUCUAAAAUUCUAAAUACAAAUAAUUGGUUAUUUCAAUAUUUGUUAAAUUUUUAGUAAUUUUCUUUUUUUUUAUUACUUAAACAUCUUUUUGUUUUUUU
rnacentral:lncRNA from 1 species